GAUGAACGCUGGCGGCGUGCCUAAUACAUGCAAGUCGAGCGAACAGAUGAGGAGCUUGCUCCUCUGACGUUAGCGGCGGACGGGUGAGUAACACGUGGAUAACCUACCUAUAAGACUGGGAUAACUUCGGGAAACCGGAGCUAAUACCGGAUAAUAUAUUGAACCGCAUGGUUCAAUAGUGAAAGACGGUUUUGCUGUCACUUAUAGAUGGAUCCGCGCCGCAUUAGCUAGUUGGUAAGGUAACGGCUUACCAAGGCAACGAUGCGUAGCCGACCUGAGAGGGUGAUCGGCCAAACUGGAACUGAGACACGGUCCAGACUCCUAAGGGAGGCAGCCGUAGGGAAUCUUCCGGAAUGGGCGAAAGCCUGACGGAGCAACGCCGCGUGAGUGAUGAAGGUCUUCGGAUCGUAAAACUCUGUUAUUAGGGAAGAACAAAUGUGUAAGUAACUAUGCACGUCUUGACGGGACCUAAUCAGAAAGCCACGGCUAACUACGUG
rnacentral:rRNA from 1 species